rnacentral:rRNA from 1 species
UACGUAGGGUGCAAGCGUUGUCCGGAAUUAUUGGGCGUAAAGAGCUCGUAGGCGGUCUGUCGCGUCUGCUGUGAAAACUCAGGGCUUAACCCUGAGCUUGCAGUGGGUACGGGCAGACUAGAGUGCGGUAGGGGAGACUGGAAUUCCUGGUGUAGCGGUGAAAUGCGCAGAUAUCAGGAGGAACACCGGUGGCGAAGGCGGGUCUCUGGGCAUUACCUGACGCUGAGGAGCGAAAGUGUGGGGAGCGGACAGG